UUUAUGAUUGGUUAGACUAAUUAACAAAAGAAAAAAAACAGCUAUUUUUUUCCCCCUCUCUCUUCCUCGUUUCUCCAAUUCUCAAAAACGUGAAAUCUAUGCUGAAGGUUCGAUCCGUCGAAUUGAGAGAAAAUAUGAGUCAGAAAUGAGUUCUGGAUCUGUCGCUAUCAUCAUUCCAGCGACGCCGGUGACCAUCGACGUUUUCUGGUUCCCCAAAUCGGGAAGUUAACCAAAUCUCUGUGUUUGGUUCAAGGAUGCUCCAAUUUUGUUCCCAUGGUGUUGCCUUCCUUUUGGCCCAAGCUGGUUCGUACUUGACGAAAGUGAAAGUUCAGAUGCUGAACGUAACUGGUAUGUCUCUUGCUGUUCUUGGUCACUACGGAGCCGCAGUUACUGAUCUUGUGCUUCAAGGCCUUCAAGGCCUUCUGGUGAGCGUAGUAGCAAAGCUCAAGUCACUCUUUGCCCAAUUCUCUCAAACAGGUUAUUCUCUUUUUGUUCUUAUGUCUAUAUAUCCCUCGAUGAAUAUAGUUCUCUUUCUGUUUACGAGUUUGUGUUUUGUCUGAGUUCUUGUAUCUGCUUGUAUACUACACUCAACUCUUUUUGUUUGUACUUGUCAUUUAUUGAAUGCAAUAUUUUUAA